GAUGAACGCUGGCGGCGUGCCUAAUACAUGCAAGUAGAACGCUGAAGGAGGAGCUUGCUCUUCUGGAUGAGUUGCGAACGGGUGAGUAACGCGUAGGUAACCUGCCUGGUAGCGGGGGAUAACUAUUGGAAACGAUAGCUAAUACCGCAUGACAACAGUUAUUGCAUGAUAACUGUUUAAAAGGGGCAACUGCUCCAGUACCAGAUGGACCUGCGUUGUAUUAGCUAGUUGGUGAGGUAACGGCUCACCAAGGCGACGAUACAUAGCCGACCUGAGAGGGUGAUCGGCCACACUGGGACUGAGACACGGCCCAGACUCCUACGGGAGGCAGCAGUAGGGAAUCUUCGGCAAUGGACGGAAGUCUGACCGAGCAACGCCGCGUGAGUGAAGAAGGGUUUCGGAUCGUAAAGCUCUGUUGUAAGAGAAGAACGAGUGUGAGAGUGGAAAGUUCACACUGUGACGGUAUCUUACCAGAAAGGGACGGCUAACUACGUG
rnacentral:rRNA from 1 species